AGAGUAUUAGUGAAUGCCAUCUAGUGGUCAAUAUGUGAAAUUGAGCUGUCGUGAGCGAAUUAGAUUUUUUAAACUGAAAGCUAGAUUCAAACGAAUGACCAUGAGAAGUCAAUUACUUGGAAUGCGAACGAAAGGAAAUGCCACGACGAAAUGCGAUGCGUUUAGAAACUAUGAUUGAAUUCCUUACCAAUUGCCGUAAUACAAUAGACGUAAGGGACUGGCUCGAGUGUAAAGGAUCACCUUGAGAAAUCCAGGAAAAACAAAUUGAAACAGAAAAAAAAGAACGUCACGUGAAAAAUCUUUACCAUGCCACCGAAUUGGGGAAUGCUGCGUCGCUCCACCUGUCAAAAAAACAUCAACAUGUUAUCAUCUGUCGAUUGUGUGGUAGCAUUGAAGGACACACAAAUAACAACACACACAUACAACCGGUUCAUCAAGUUUGCUUCGGCCGAAAAGAAUUAUUCUAGGAAGUGCUGAGACCGAAAUGACAUCAGAAUUAGACCAAGACCAGAGAAGAUUCUUAUUCUAAAAUUUUCCAAAUAAACCCAAAACGGCCAAUGGAAUUCCAAAUGCCUUUCUGCGUGAAACGAACGUAUGAUAGUCGUUUUUGUCCUAAACAUUCGUGGACAAUAACGAACUCGUUCCGUCAAGAAGGGAAAAAUAUAUAUUUGAAGAAGAUUCCAUCUCCCCAUAUACGUGUAUUCUGUACACGACAUGCAUUCAUUGGAAGAAAGGAAUAGAAGAAAAAGUGCUCCGAAGUAAAGGAAAUCUAUACCAUGGGUAAGUCGUUCAUUAUCAUCUCGCCAUUUCGAAUGACGAAAGGCGUUCGGGUCUGAACGACUUCGAUCGUCGCUGAAGUUUCUUCGGCCUCGCCAUCAAUCAGCUGAUUUCUCCUUCUCUGACGUAGAAGAUUUUCUCGCAACAAUUCGGCCAAUUCGGCCGUCCGAUCGGACGGUGGAACACUGACGGCCGUCGAACUCGGCCGUUGGACAUUUGGAUUGAACUGAAACUGACGCCGUGGAUUAUGGCGGUUUAUCCCUGAUGAUGGAUGAGCCGUUCUCGAUCGGGAAAAGAGGGCUCUCGCUUCCGGCUCGGAAGUGCUGCGUAACACUCGCAGAUGGAUAUGAGAAUCAGCGAACCGUGACCACGACUGGCCAGCAGUCAGGUUGUUAUUUUCAUCCCUCACUUGGUCUUGUUCGUUGGUGUCUUGGACAUCACGACCCUCCAACGCGUCGCCGUCGGCUGGAUUCUCUUCCGGCCUGGCCAAAUAAGAUAGAAUGACGGAGAGGAAAGCUUGUCGCUGAACCUGCAGCGAUUCGGCGGCGACCAGCGCCAACGGUGACGAUGCCUCUGUUGUUGUGCUGUCAUUGCUGAGCUGUUUCACCGUUAUCGUACUGUUUCUUCUUCCGGAUUCCGAUGAGCCUCCAACCGCCAUCAGCACUGCACGAGUUAACCCAAAUCAAAAGUUUUCUUUCUUCUCUCUUCAAUCGAUUCAACGACAAGAAAAGCCAAUGAAAAAAUUGCAGAAAACUCACCUAAAAUGACGGCUAUUAACCGUUUCUUUAUCCACGGACAUUUGAACUUCAUGUCGAUUGGCGCCGUUAGAAACAAAUGCACUGGGAGCUGCUGGAGCGGCAGAAAUCGACCACCAUUCACAACGGCGAUCUGAUGGCGUCUCUUUUCGAAAUCCAAAAGAGAGAGAGAAACAAUAACGAACGAAACGUCCAAUAGAAGGAAAAGCAGCGCGUCUCUACCGGUCCGUGAACUAAAAAAACUGGAAAAAAGAGGGAAAGAAAAAAACCCGGGGAGAAAGUGAAACCGACUAUACUUGGUCAACGCGGAUUGAUCACAUACAACGACGUCACUUACGUGCAACAACCAUGAAUUAAGCAACUGAACAAACCACACACAAAAAAGAGAAGUUUAUUUUCUUUUCUUUUUCUUCUGUUCCUUAUGUUUUGGUUAUGAUUGGCGAUGAAGGCAUAAGUGAUAUCUAUCGAUUCGUGACGAAGAAGGGAGACGCUGCCCAUUGGCGUGCGUACAAAGUAUAUGCAUACGGCAAAAUAGAUCGGUAAGUAGGUGGAUGCGCUUCAGGGAUAUCUCCGAUAUCUCGGUCAACAUGUCACCCGUCCUUACACGUGCGCUAUACAGUUCAUAUUCUUCUUCCUAUUGAUUUAUUUAAGACUUGCCCCGGUUGCCAACUACGCAGAACAAAAUCAGAACAAUUGAAAGAAAGUUGUAAAAAACCUUUAUCGCGUGCAUACCAGUUUAUUUUGUAAUGAAUUCGUUGAUUUUUGCUUUUAAUUUUCACUUUUCAAAAUCAAAAAAAAAAAAUGAUUACUUUUGUUGUUGUCCCGUCGCAUAUUUAUGCAGCGACAACAACAAAACUUUCUCUAACAACUACCAACCUCGUCUCCCCCUUUCUCAUCCGAUUUCUCCGGAGCUGAUUUUUCUCCUUUUUACUUCAUAUGCUCAUACCAGUCGACUUCUCUGUUGUGUAUUUAAUAAAUACACAACAGACAGAGAGAGGAAAUCGUCUGGGUGCGCAUUGGCAAAUUUCCUGUUUUUUUUUUCUUUCAAAUGCAGGGAUUGAAAUGAUCUAAUGGUCGCCAAAACAUCAUCAAGUCAACAUCAAAUCGAAGGACCCCACUUUCCCUUUUUUGUGUCGGUUAAUGCAGACGAAACACGACAUCGAAAAUCGUUUUUUAAAUUCGUAUAAAGCAGAGUUUUAUCCCAAAGCUAAACGUGAUUUUUCUUUUUAGGACAUGAACCACAAGAAGGGUUUCGCAGGCUAAUGAUUAAAAGGGGCUCUGCAAUGGAGAGGAACACCUAAAGAAAAAGCCUGGAGAUAUAGAAAGAGUAAAUUAAAGGUGCGGCACGCCAUUCAUCCGAAUUGAGGAUAGCAAAGGAAUGUUGUAUUUGAACAUCAAUAAGCACCAUCGGGAAAAACUCACCAGGUGCAAGACGUACAACGGCGAUUUUCGUUCAACCAUCUGUCGGAAUCAAUUUCAACUAAACAAAACACGUGAUAAAAAUUCAUUUACGCUCGGCCGGGUUUGAAUCAUCAAACGCUUAUUUCGUUUUAUUAAACAAUUUUUAUUUCUUUGUUAGGAGCAUUACACUGUAUGAAAGAAACAACAGGAUACGGCA